GCCUGGUCCAAAGGUAGUGAGUUAUCUCAAUUGAUUGUUCACAGUCAGUUACAGACCGAACUCCUUGUUCUACUUUCCCUUCUUCUCACUACUGCACUUGACUAGUCUUUA
ensembl:Y_RNA Y_RNA Y RNA